CACGUAGGGCGCAAGCGUUGUCCGGAAUUAUUGGGCGUAAAGAGCUCGUAGGUGGUUUGUUACGUCUGCUGUGAAAACCUAGGGCUUAACCCUGGGCUUGCAGUGGAUACGGGCAGACUAGAGGUAGGUAGGGGAGACUGGAAUUCCUGGUGUAGCGGUGAAAUGCGCAGAUAUCAGGAGGAACACCGAUGGCGAAGGCAGGUCUCUGGGCCACUACUGACGCUGAGAAGCGAAAGCAUGGGGAGCGAACAGG
rnacentral:rRNA from 1 species